AACGAACGCUGGCGGCAGGCCUAACACAUGCAAGUCGAGCGAGGACUUCGGUCCUAGCGGCGGACGGGUGAGUAACGCGUGGGAACGUGCCCUUUGCUUCGGAAUAGCCCUGGGAAACUGGGAGUAAUACCGGAUGAGCCCUUUGGGGGAAAGAUUUAUCGGCGAAGGAUCGGCCCGCGUUGGAUUAGGUAGUUGGUGGGAUAAUGGCCUACCAAGCCGACGAUCCAUAGCUGGUUUGAGAGGAUGAUCAGCCACACUGGGACUGAGACACGGCCCAGACUCCUACGGGAGGCAGCAGUGGGGAAUCUUAGACAAUGGGGGAAACCCUGAUCUAGCCAUGCCGCGUGAGCGAUGAAGGCCUUAGGGUUGUAAAGCUCUUUCAGCUGGGAAGAUAAUGACGGUACCAGCAGAAGAAGCCCCGGCUAACUCCGUG
rnacentral:rRNA from 1 species